CUGGGCCCGGCAGGCGGGCGGCCGGCGGCGCGCGGGCACGCGGCAGGGGACAGAGGAUGGAUGGGUGAACCCGGAUCCCGGGAUUCUCCCGCGCCCGCUGCCCCUCUGCGGAGCCUCCCCGGAGUCCCACGCCCCCACCCCGGCCACGGAGAUCACCACGUCAGGAGAUAUGUAUGCGUGUGCAUGUGUGUGCGCGCGUGUUCACGCGCGUGUGCGAGAGAUGGAGUCUUGCUCUGUCACCCAGGCUGGAGUGCAAUGGUGUGAUCUCAGCUCACUGCAACCUCUGCCUCCCGGAUUCUAGCAAUUCUCCUGCUUCAGCCUCCCAGGUAGCUGGGAUUAUAGGCACAUGCUGCCACGCCCGGCUAAUUUUUUUUAUUUUUAGUAGAGACAAGGUUUCACCGUGUUGCCCAGGCUGGUCUCGAGCUCCUGAGCUCAGGCAGUCCACCUGGCUCAGCCUCCCAAAGUGCUAGGAUUACAGGCGUGAGCCACUGCGCCUGGCCUGGCAUUCUUUUUUAAGGUAUAUGUGUGUAUUAGAAAAGCUCUUGUAUAUGUGAACAAGUAGUUAUAUCUCUGGAAGACUGUAAUUGUAAAAAAUUGGGAAAAACCCAAAUUCCCACUAACAAAGGAAUAGAUAAAUAACUUGUGGUACUUAAAAAAAAAAACAGUUAAAAGUAAACUAAUUAGGGCUAUGUGAGUCAAUAUGAAUAUACCUCAAAAAAUAUAAUUUGAAGAAAGCAAAUUGAGUGUAUACAGCAUUAUGCCAUUUACAUAAAGUUUGAAAACACACAAAACAAUAUUUUGUAUCAUUGAAGGACAUAUGUUGUAUAGUAUAGCAGACUGGAUUCCCAAAAAAGUAAGUUCUAAGAUAGAGAUUAUCAAGGAAGAGGUUCUUUAGUGAGUGAUUUUGGGAACAACAUCUUGUGGAAAGGAGGUGAAGGAGGACUGCACAGAAGGGAGCUUGGGCUGUGAUGCAGACCUAACAAAGACCUCAGUCAACCCCUCUACGGGCCUCUGAAACUGGGAUUACCCUUCAGAAUUGUCUUGAGUUGAGGUGAGGGCCCUUGCCUUUACAGCCCUGCAAUGGUCACUGGAUGAUAGGAAAAUGCAUGACCUGGAGGAGGCAGCUCUCCUCUGUCUCUGUGUAAUCAUUAGGAACAUUCAACACCAAUAUUCCAUUACUCUCCUAGAAAUGUGGUAGCAUUAUACUUUCCCAUGUCCUUUAAGUUAGAGUUGGCCAAUGGAAUGGGAGCAGAAGUUGCAUGGGUCAUCUCUAGGUAGAAGCUUUUAAUAGUCCGAAUGUAAUUCUACAAAUUUCCUUCCCACUACCGUGGGAUCUGUGACAUUCUAGGUGGUAGAAGCUCUUCCGGCUGUGUUUCUCAAUGAAGAUAAUGUGGAUCAGUGCAUUCAGCCAUCCUGUAAGCAACAUGAGGCAUGAGCAAAAAGGAAACAUUUUCUUUUGUAAAUACCUGAUAUACUGGGGUUAUUUGCCACUGCAGCAUAACCUACAUGUUUGGACUGAUACCACCUUUUGAUUGCAAAUGUCACUUUUACCAUGUCUGAUUUCUCUUCUUCUUGCCAUAUGUAUUUACUUAACACUCUUUUUUAUCCUGUUCGAAAAUCAGGAUUUCACAAAAUGUGUUCUGUAGAAAACUAGUCAUGUGAGCUGCUCUCCAAAAUCUUGGUUUUUAUGGUCAACUAAGUAGGAAACCGCGUAUUUUAUCACUCUCUCAGGGAUUUAUAAUUGCUCAUUGGCAUAUUAAAUUUCCUAAGCACUCUUUCCAUUAAAAAACCUGUAUUAAUUAAUUUUAAUCUUCCAUUUCACAAACUCAUUUGACUAUAGAAUCCUAAAAAUAACAUCUAUUAACAUCUGACAGAGAAACACAUUUUUGGAAAGUAUGCCCUAAGCAUUCUUCCACUUUCCAUUGCAAAUUAAACACAUCCAGCGGGUCUACUUGGAAGUGAAGAGAAUGGAACUAGGACUUACUUACAAUGGGUCCAAGAGCUAACAGCCUUUCUACAGGCAUAAAAUUUCAAUAGAAUUGACGUGUAAAGAAACUAUUCAACUGGCUUCAAAAUCAAUCAACACACAUGUAGAAUAUAGAGAAUGUGAAACACAAAUACGUAUGUAUUGGCUAAAGGGUCCUUAAUUACCUAAGGCUGGCAAUAUGUUUUCAAAGAUAACAUGCAAACACAUAAAAAGCAAAACAACAAACGUUAGAAAAUAACCACUGCCAAAUGAGUGGGUAUAGACAGAACAUUGAGGUUGUCUAAGAUCACACAGUGAGUAAAGGCCAGAGUUAGUAACUACGUUCCAUAUAUUGGAUCUCAGAAUCAAAGAUUCACUGAGUCACACAUCAUUCUUUGAUAUUAUUCUGAAUCUCUUGAAGUGUGAUGUAUAAGAACUUAAAUCUUAAGCACAAACAAUUAGGAUAAUUAGCAUCUCUGUAUAUUUCCAUAAUGGCAUCAGACAACAAAAGGAAACUUGCCAAUUUCCCAAUCAGGCAAAGUCCAAAAAACGCUUUCCUGCCUGCCUGCCUUAUUAUUGCAGCAAAUUAUAGCACCACUUGCUGGCUGAGAAAAUGGCUCACUCAGAAUGAGGAGGCAGGGCAGACGGCUGCCUGUGCCUUUAGAAAAUGUUUGUUGUUUGUUUUGUUUUUUUAAGAAUUUAGACAAGAGUUAAAGAAUUACUUCUUUCUAUUGAGAGCUCUAUAUUUUAAUAAAUUGGAGUGGUGGACAAGCUGGAAUAGAUGGAGCAGAAUGUUGCAUAAUCUCUAAUCUCUCCCCUGCUUCUUUUUAUAUGUUUUGAAUGAAGAAAGAACUAUUUUAGUUGACAGGAAGAAAAGACAAAAACUUUAAAAAGAACACAAAACUACCAAGGUUUUGUCUUUGCCUGUGUGCAUAAAAGCUUGAGAUUGGAAUAAAAUUCUUAGUGUAAUGUAUUAGAGACUCAGAAUCUAGAUAUUUUGGGAGUAGAUGGCUCAGCAAAAACACAGAUUACUUUUAGACUCAAUCUAUUAUUUAUUAUUUCAAUUUAUAAAAAAUGCACCCAAUGCAUCUUUGGGAUGAAGAGUUCAAAGUCAUUGUGAUUGUGUAGUUGGCUUAUCUCUCACUUAUAGAAAUCUG
rnacentral:lncRNA from 1 species